rnacentral:rRNA from 1 species
ACUCCUACGGGAGGCAGCAGUGGGGAAUAUUGCACAAUGGGGGAAACCCUGAUGCAGCCAUGCCGCGUGUGUGAAGAAGGCCUUCGGGUUGUAAAGCACUUUCAGUAGGGAGGAAGGUAGUGUAGUUAACACCUGCAUUAUUUGUACGUUACCUACAGAAGAAGCACCGGCUAACUCCGUGCCAGCAGCCGCGGUAAUACGGAGGGUGCGAGCGUUAAUCGGAAUUACUGGGCGUAAAGCGCAUGCAGGCGGCCUGUUAAGUCAGAUGUGAAAGCCCGGGGCUUAACCUCGGAAUUGCAUUUGAAACUGGCAGGCUAGAGUCUUGUAGAGGGGUUAGAAUUUCAGGUGUAGC